GAUGAACGCUGGCGGCGUGCCUAAUACAUGCAAGUCGAGCGAACAGACGAGGAGCUUGCUCCCCUGACGUUAGCGGCGGACGGGUGAGUAACACGUGGAUAACCUACCUAUAAGACUGGGAUAACUUCGGGAAACCGGAGCUAAUACCGGAUAAUAUAUUGAACCGCAUGGUUCAAUAGUGAAAGACGGUUUUGCUGUCACUUAUAGAUGGAUCCGCGCCGCAUUAGCUAGUUGGUAAGGUAACGGCUUACCAAGGCAACGAUGCGUAGCCGACCUGAGAGAGUGAUCGGCGACCCUGGAACUGGGACACGGUCCAGACUCCUACGGGAGGCAGCAGUAGGGAAUCUUCCGCAAUGGGCGAAAGCCUGACGGAGCAACGCCGCGUGAGUGAUGAAGGUCUUCGGAUCGUAAAACUCUGUUAUUAGGGAAGAACAAAUGUGUAAGUAACUAUGCACGUCUUGACGGUACCUAAUCAGAAAGCCACGGCUAACUACGUG
rnacentral:rRNA from 1 species